AUAUAGGGUUAAGAGUAGAUCAUAAAUUCUACAUUAGAUGUAUUUAAUUUCAAAUCUGUCUCUAAAGAAAGUUAAGGUGGUGAAACACUCUGACAGGAGCCAGUGGGGCAGCAUCUGCUCUCAGCUACUCUAAUGUAAAUGCAGAGUCACUCUACUGAUUUGAGUGUAUAAGGGGGAGCAACAGCAUUUCUGUAUGUAAUAAUAUAACAAUGUUACAAUGAUAUAACAGAAAGCAGAAUCAGGCCCCUACCAUUCAAAGUUAAAGCUAACCCACACUUAAGAAGAUUCUAUAAUGGUCCAGCUGAGUGAGGAUCAGUGUCAAUCUUCAUGUUGAAUGGCUUACCUUUCAUCAGUCAGUGACACUUUACACGGUAAUUUACACAAGAUAAUAAAAUGGCUUCCUCAUACCCACCCUAGUUGCGCCACUGAGUAUCUUAUGUAUGCCCAUUUUAUUUCUAAAAACCAUAGUGCAUACCUAUUUACGUGGGCUCAUAAGAAAAUGUAUUAUGUAAUCAUAAAUACAUAUCCAAUAUUUAUUUAUCAAGUGUCUGACUAAGAGAGGAAGGAUGACAUAGUGGCUAAUGUGGUAGCCUAGGACACCAGAGACUCAGUUUCACUUCCCUGUUCUAACACAGACUUCCUAUGAGAUGUCGGGCGAGUUGUCAUAAGCUUCUGUUCCCUUGCAGUAAAACAGAGAUGAUCCCUCCCUCCGAGGAAUGUUGUGGGGGUAAAUAUGUGAGGCACGCUGAUGUAAUGGAAGCUGUAUAUGUACCUCAGAUAAAAAAUAGUUUGGGGCAAUUGCGAGAGCUCACUCACUGCAGUGUUUUCACUCAAACCUUCAUUCCAGGAUGCAAUUUUUUUUUCACCAUUAUGCACUCUUGCCCAACAUACACACCAGAUGCAAUCUCCUUUGCAAUUGAGCAAACAAGCCAUCUUCUUCAUUUAAAAACACUGCAUUUAUAUGACUUGCUCAUUUCCACUUCCCUUUUGAACGACAAUCCAUGCAUUGAUAGGCACACACAAAGACCUCCUUCAUAAUGGAUUUCCUUAUUAUAUAUUAUUGCAUUACUGUCUCAAAAUAUGUUGUACAAUGACAUAAUUAUAAAUAUUCAUGUUCAAAUGACAGAACAGAAGAAAGUAUUUUUCAGGCAAAACUCCCAAGCAAGGACUACAGAAUUUGGCUCAUAGUUUAACAAAAAUUAAAAACACUUCCUAUAUGAAGGGCUGUUUACUUCAUAAAAUUGUUAAAACAGGUAAAUUUUCAGAAACAGAAAUUUUCAGCAGAGGCAGUUCUGCUGUGUCUUCUUCUCGCUGCCUCAUACUAGAUCAAUAGGUAGGCUCAUGUGAGUAAGACAAGUAUGAUUUAGACCUGUGUUACUCUAUAAUAUGUAAGGUAUCAAAGCCUGCUAUAGGAGUGUUUACAACGUCAUAGGCAAAGAAUGUGUUUAACCCAAUAGUAUUAAUGGGAAAAACAAGGGAGUAAUGUUACAAAUACUUUUAAGAUGGAACUAUAAAAGAAUAAUUGUAAAGUCAAUGGAUUGUUUCCAUUUUACUACUGUGUGAAGGCUGAACUUUAAAUGUAUAUGUUACACCUUUUUCUAAAAGGAGACAGUAACCUGACAUAUAUAUUUAUGAGUGACACGAAACCACAGCACUGUGUUAUGUACACAGCAGUUAGAAUGAUUAGCCAGCGUGACAAUGAGGACAAACCUACCCAAUAGACUUUGUCUGUUAAGUUUCUAUAGGGAUAUCGAGAACUUAUGCCUUUUCUUUUCUAUAUGUAUAUAUUUACAUACAGGCAAUGCAAAUGUAAAGCUCUAAAGAAAGCAGAAAGAUAAGCCAACGCAUUGUGCAAAGGCUUAGUGCUGGACUGAAAUACCUUGUCUACUGAGUUAUUGUGCCCAUCUCUCUCUUUUUAAUACAGCAAAGUCAUACCAAUAUACCCUGACAUGAAUUAAAUGCAACAACAGCUCCUGUCAGGUCAAAGCUGAUCCACUGCUGGCUUCCCUUCUGCUGAAAACAACAAACCAACUUCUCACAAGUCUUGCUGAUGCUGCUGUUUUGUAUGUCAGAAGACAGUCUGCAGAAUUUUGAAGUAUACAGUUUCUAAACCUAAGUAUGUGUGACAGGUUCUCAACUAUACCUCUACCCCAAUAUAACGUGACCCAAUAUAACACGAAUUUGGAUAUAAUGUGGUAAAGCAGUGCUCCGGGAGGGCGGGGCUGCGUGCUCCAGCGGAUCAAAGCAAGUUUAAUAUAACGCGGUUUCACCUAUAACGCGGUAAGAUUUUUUGGCUCUUGAGGACAGCGUUAUAUCAGAGUAGAGGUGUAUUCUUGUCUUCUACAGAUCAUAAAUUAGCUGUGAAGAUAUAGUUCUAUUUUCCAACAGGAAAGGCAAUUUCAUGAAAAAAGUCUAAAGCAUGGAUGAAAAGAUUCUAUAUUUAGAAUUACACUGAGGACUUACUAUGACCUUCAGAGAACAGAAACUAAAAAGCUCAAUUUUUACAUAAAAAAGAGCUGUUCAGUAAAAACUGAAAUAAAAAAAGGGUUUAGAACACCUGCUUUCCAUGCAUUUGCCUUUUUUAAACAAAAUCUUUUAAAAGUUAAGCUUGAUUGAAAUAUGCAUCAAUGUGACACAUUAAAUCUGGUUAACAAAGUAGUAGUAAUUACUAACUUCACAAACAUAAGAAGCUUGGCCAUGCUUCUGCAAAUGAGCUACCAUAUUUUAGCUAUAGGCAGCAAUUUCUGUACAGUUCUUGGGGCUAGGAGGGCAAAUCGAAACUUUUAUCCACCUCUACACAAACACCAUAUUCACCUCACUAAUACAUGUUGUUACACAAGAAGCAACCAUCAACAUGACCAAACAGUGCUUUGGUCCAGAUAGCUUGACUCUAUCCCAUUUUUAUGCCUUUCAUUAGAUUUCUGAGGGUUCUGUUUACAUAUUACUCAAAUCCUCUCUACAGUUUCAGUUUGGAAGAUUCACUGAGCUUUCCCCGAUCUGGCUUCCAUGGAAAUGAAUCCUAAUUUAUAAGGCAAAAGCUAUUCAGACAUGCCUCUUGGGACUCAGAUUUAGGCGUUGUACCUCCCUCACUGCCCCCAAAAUCCUUUACUGCAAUAGAACCAUUAUUGAUGUGUCUUUCACAAGCUUCUUGAAAAUCUUCCAGUGCAUCUUCUUCAAUGAGUGUGUCCUACAAGAUCACCUGGACACAGAGAGCCUGUUAGAUUUCUGAACGUUCAGGGGUAGGAUCUGUCUCCUAUUAGUCAUAUAUAUGGUGCCUACCACAAAAUGGACCUGUCUGAGGCCUCAGGGUGCUUUUGUAAUACAAAUACUAUUAAUACAUUAUAUGUUGACACUCAAAAUGGGUUUGGAAUGUGCUCUGGCAGUAAGCCUGGCUGCCUCUAGCCACAAAUAGCUACACAUCAUGUCAUUCUUUGCUCUACUUUUCAGGUAACCUUUUUUCUCAAUGCAUGAAAUUGUGCAUAAACAAAUGUUGCAUAUUGUGACUGCCCAACUAAUCCUAUUGUUGCCCAAUUACAGAGUCCUAGGGAAAAGGUCUAGCUAGUUGUGAAGAUGCAGAUGAAGAUGAAUGUAAAAAUGAGCUUUGGAUAGGUAAAAGUACUUCCUGGUAGAAUCAAAGAAAGAGGACCAUGACGUCUUGACCAAGACACUGUUCUGCUCUCUUGAAAUAAUGAUACCAUGGAGUCUGAACAUGCAUUCUCUUUAGGAUUUCCACUUUCUGCUUAGCUAAUAUAAAUUGUACAAAUGCACUGUGUUUUGCUCUGUACAGUAAAUCUUCCAGAUAAAAGUCAUGGUAGAAUUUUUGUUCUGCUGCCUACAUCAAGUUCAGCAAUAAUUAUAAUAAUUAAUAAAACCAACACCAUCAACAAAACACUCAUUAACCAAACUAAUUAACUGUGUCCAUUUUGAAUUAUAGUGCAAAGGCGAGAGAACACGGCUUCUUUAUUUGCUCCCCUUUGUGCGUCUGAAACAAGAGGCCAAAUCCAGUUGUAAUCUAACUCUGAAAAGAGUAAUGGAA